UGUGCACGACGCGGCGUCGCUGACGUCACCAGUAUCGUGGUAUCAUAUCAUUGCUUACGAGGUAGCAACAUAACCUGGCUCUUUUAACUUUGACGUAUCACACAAAUUAUUCUAAAGACAUGAUCAAUCCAUUGAGAAAAUUAUUUCCAUUUCUAGAAUAUUGGUAUUUUCGAUACAUGCUUGUUACAGAGCUUUACAUGGUUGAAAAAUGGGAAAGGAAGUUUAUAAACACAUUUUUGAUCACUCUCUUCUGCUCAUUCUUUCUAUUUAAUUAUAGCAUUGUGCUACCAUUUGUGCAGCAUACGUUGCGUACUUGAAACACAGUUCGAUGCAACGGGUUAUUAAAUCGAAGUUGUUACUCUUUCCCCACAUUCCAGUAUUGCAUCGAAUUAUUUUAUAUAAAUUGUUCUUCAUAAUUGUACGUACAAUGUUAUUGUUUUGUAUGAUGCAAGCUUAAAUAAACAACUCAUGAAAUGUA